ACAUGCAAGUCGAGCGNGGNAAAUUNACUNGCUACUUNACCUAGCAGNNGACGGNUGANUAAUGCUNAGGAUUCUGCCUAUUAGUGGGGGACAACAUCUCGAAAGGGAUGCUAAUACCGCAUACGUCCUACGGGAGAAAGCAGGGGACCUUCGGGCCUUGCGCUAAUAGAUGAGCCUAAGUCGGAUUAGCUAGUUGGUGGGGUAAAGGCCUACCAAGGCGACGAUCUGUAGCGGGUCUGAGAGGAUGAUCCGCCAACUGGGACUGAGACACGGCCCAGACUCCUACGGGAGGCAGCACUGGGGAAUAUUGGACAAUGGGGGGAACCCUGAUCCACCCAUGCCGCGUGUGUGAAGAAGCCUUUUGGUUGUAAAGCACUUUAACCGAGGAGGAGGCUACCGAGAUUAAUACUCUUGGAUAGUGGACGUUACUCGCAGAAUAAGCACCGGCUAACUCUGUGCCAGCAGCCGCGGUAAUACAGAGGGUGCAAGCGUUAAUCGGAUUUACUGGGCUAAAGCGCGCGUAGGUGGCCAAUUAAUGUAAAUGUGAAAUCCCCGAGCUUAACUUGGGAAUUGCAUUCGAUACUGGUUGGCUAGAGUAUGGGAGAGGAUGAGUAGAAUUCCAGGUGUAGCGGUGAAAUGCCUAGAUAUCUGGAGGAAAAGCCAUUGCGAAGGCAGCUAUCUGGCCUAAUACUGACACUGAAGUUGCNAAAA
rnacentral:rRNA from 1 species